rnacentral:tRNA from 1 species
AAAAUCGUUUUAGAAGUAUUUUUAAUUUGCAAUUAAUAACCUCUAUUUUC